rnacentral:lncRNA from 1 species
AGAGAGAGAGUGAGAAAGAAGAGAGGGAGGCGCAGCUUUGUGUGUGUGUUGGGAGGUGUUUUAAUGUGUGUUUAUUUAGGUUAAGAAUUGGGCCGGGUUGGGCCGAUUUUUUUUAUGUUGGGCUUCCUUUUAAUUUAAUUGACUGUUGGGCAUUUCCUUAUGUUUUGGGCUCGGCCCUUUACAAAUAAAAAUCUGAUGGGCUUCUUUUAUUUAAAGAACUUGGGCCUGUUUUUAAUUUAAAUAUUUGGGCUUCU